rnacentral:piRNA from 1 species
AGAAUUCAAGGACACAAGAGAAG